AUUGAACGCUGGCGGCAGGCCUAACACAUGCAAGUCGAGCGGAGCGGCGGACGGGUGAGUAAUGCCAAGGACUCUGAAUGGUCGUGGGGGAGAACGUUCGGAAACGGGCGCUAAUACUGCAUACUCUCAGCAUAGCCUAGGCCGGAUUAGCUAGUGGGUGGGGUAAAGGCCUACCAAGGCGACGGUCCGUAACUGGUCUGAGAGGAUGAUCAGUCACACUGGAACUGAGACACGGUCCAGACUCCUACGGGAGGCAGCAGUGGGGAAUAUUGGACAAUGGGCGCAAGCCUGAUCCAGCCAUGCCGCGUGUGUGAAGAAGGUCUUCGGAUUGUAAAGCACUUUAAGUUGGGAGGCGUUACCAACAGAAGAAGCACCGGCUAACUUCGUGCCAGCAGCCGCGGUAAUUC
rnacentral:rRNA from 1 species